rnacentral:lncRNA from 1 species
AUAAGACUCCUCACCUAGCAAAAAAGAUUCCAAUUCUUGGAGAGUGAGUUGUUUUUGUGGUCAUGAGUAAUUGGACAUAUCCACCAUAUUGAUGUGGAAGGGUGCUAAGCAUGAGAAUCGCAACACUUUGCUAAGACAACUUCGGCUUGUGUGAGCUUAUCUACGAGAUCCUUGAUGGUUCGUAGCAAGUCUUUCAUGUUGCUGUCCAAAGAUAGGCGGAUAUUGAAUAGCCUGUUUAAGAGAUUGUUCUUGCAAGGUUGAUUAGUGGAGGCAAUCAUAGUCUUGAACAUCUUCUAGAGGAAGUGGGAGUCAUGUUCCAUCUUUUAUCUUAGAGAACAAAUUGAAAUGCACAAAGAGGGUGAGAAUUAGUGUGCGUUGCAGGUUGUUGCUUUCUUCUAUGGAUUGUCUAUUGACGAGGCGGGGCUUCUCCUUGACGUAGUGCCACAGACCUUUCCUAAGAACUUUCUCUAUUUUAAAACUCCAGAUACUUUAGUUCUCUUCUACUGUAUGCCUGCACUCAAAAUGAAUCAAGUUUGUGAUGAAACGAUGAGUGAGAGGAGGUAGCUACCUAAAGUUGAUCACCUGUUGUCAACACGGGACGUGAGGGAGGCGUAACAAUAAUUGGUGAGGCUGGCCUUGCUAUCUCUAAGUCAGAGCUCAUGCCGAGAGUGGCACUUUAUAGCAGAGAACCUAAAGAGGUCGCUCUGAUACCAUGAAAAAAAAGUAAUGAGAGAAGGCAGCACCCGGAACUCUUGAUGUUGCUGUGUGGUAACACUUACACAAAUAUAUCACUCUUUUGAGAGUCUCCUGAUAUACCAACUAGGUGUGCUAAUUAUAACUUAACCUAAUCCUACGUCAGCCUAGUUGUGCUUCCACUUGUCACCGGAAGCCAGGUUUAUUCCAACAACUCGUGUGCGCAGUGUAAUGUGUGUUGUCUGUAGUUUCCAAGGUAUGGAGUUAUGAAUUCAUGAACUUUUGAUACCCAGCUUGGGUUCUGAUGCAUCAACAUCAACACAAGACUGAUCGUUCUUGUUUCUUAUCCAGAGCUUGCAAUGUGCGACUGUGUUCGCAGAUUCUGUCGGUGAUAGGUGGUCUGUUGAGGCUCCUCUUUUCGACUCACAUUGAAUACAUAGUACGAGGCUGAACCUCUUCAGGUGAGGGUUUGAAUCUUCUUUAGCAAUGAGUUUUGUGUUCCCAAACAGUUUCCCAAACGCUUUAAAUCCUACACAAAAUGACAUACUAGUCCUGAACUAUGGUGCACUAUUUUCGUUAUUCGCUGGAGUGGUUAUCUUAUUCAAAUACAGGCGCUUCAUCUACAUUAAAUUUCUUUAGCAAUCCGUGCUGGACUUUUACAGUCACUGUUGUUGUCCAUUGUUGGUCGUAUUUUUGUGUUUUUUUUUGCUACGGUGCAGGUCUUAUUCAUGUUGGAGGUUUGUGAUGGUACUAAUCUUCUUACCCUUGUGGUUUUUGAAGGUGGUGGUUUUCUGUCUGUUGUUGCAAGAUCGUGAUGGUGCUAGUCCUCUUCAAUUUUUUGUUGUUGGUUCGUGAUUGUGGUGAUCCUUCUCGCCUUGUUUCUAGUGUGAGAUUAUGUUCUUCCAAGCAAAGGUGAUAGUUGUGAUUGCACUCUUUCUCACAUUCUUGCUAUUUGUGAUGAAGUUCUUUAUGGCAGCGGAGCUAGUUUUUGUAUCAAAUUUCCUUAGUAGUGUAAUAAUGAUGAAUGUUUCUGGGAUGUUGAUGCUUAGUUGGAAAGAUUUGCAGCUGUGUUCUUUUCUGUUGUGGUUUGCCACUCUGUUAUAAUGUAUGUAAAAUUUCUUUUUGCAGAAUUUUUUAUGAAGAGUAUAUUACAAUUUUAGGAUACCACAAUUUAGAUAUUCC